rnacentral:rRNA from 1 species
GGGAAUCGAAUUAAUACCGCAUACGACCUACGGGAGAAAGGGGGCAACUUGUUGCUCUCGCUAUUAGAUGAGCCUAAGUCGGAUUAGCUAGAUGGUGGGGUAAAGGCCUACCAUGGCGACGAUCUGUAGCUGGUCUGAGAGGAUGAUCAGCCACACCGGGACUGAGACACGGCCCGGACUCCUACGGGAGGCAGCAGUGGGGAAUAUUGGACAAUGGGGGAAACCCUGAUCCAGCCAUGCCGCGUGUGUGAAGAAGGCCUUUUGGUUGUAAAGCACUUUAAGCAGUGAAGAAGACUCUUCGGUUAAUACCCGGAGACGAUGACAUUAGCUGCAGAAUAAGCACCGGCUAACUCUGUGCCAGCAGCCGCGGUAAUACAGAGGGUGCAAGCGUUAAUCGGAAUUACUGGGCGUAAAGCGUACGCAGGCGGUUUGUUAAGCGAGAUGUGAAAGCCCCGGGCUCAACCUGGGAACUGCAUUUCGAACUGGCAAACUAGAGCGUGAUAGAGGGUGGUAGAAUUUCAGGUGUAGCGGUGAAAUGCGUAGAGAUCUGAANGNGANANUACCGANUGGCGAAGGCAGCCACCUGGGUCAACACUGACGCUCAUGUACGAAAGCGUGGGGAGCAAACGGGAUUAGAUACCCCGGUAGUCCACGCCGUAAACGAUGUCUNACUAGAAGCUCGGAGCCUCGGUUNCUGUUUUUNCAAAGCUAACGCAUUAAGUAGACCGCCUGGGGAGUACGGCCGCNAAGGUUNAAAANCUCAAAUGAAUUGACGGGGGCCCGCACAAGCGGUNGGAGCAUGNUGGUUUAAUUCGAAGCAACGNCGAAGAACCUUACCAGGCCUUGACAUCCAAUGAACUUUCUAGAGAUAGAUCGGUGCCUUCGGGAACAUUGAGACAGGUGCUGCAUGGCUGUCGUCAGCUCGUGUCGUGAGAUGUUGGGUUAAGUCCCGUAACGAGCGCAACCCUUGUCCUUAGUUACCAGCACGUAAUGGCGGGCACUCUAAGGAGACUGCCGGUGACAAACCGGAGGAAGGUGGGGGUGACGUCAAGUCAUCAUGGCCCUUACGGCCUGGGCUACACACGUGCUACAAUGGUCGGUACAAAGGGUUGCCAAGCCGCGAGGUGGAGCUAAUCCCAUAAAACCGAUCGUAGUCCGGAUCGCAGUCUGCAACUCGACUGCGUGAAGUCGGAAUCGCUAGUAAUCGUGAAUCAGAAUGUCACGGUGAAUACGU